GAUGAAGAACGCAGCGAAAUGCGAUACGUAAUGUGAAUUGCAGAUCUCUCAGUGAAUCAUCGAAUCUUUGAACGCACAUUGCGCCCGCCAGUAUUCUGGCGGGCAUGCCUGUUCGAGCGUCAUUUCAACCAUCAAGCCCCCGGCUUGUGUUGGGGACCUGCGGCUGCCGCAGGCCCUGAAAACCAGUGGCGGGCUCGCUAGUCACUCCGAGCGUAGUAGUUACAUCUCGCUCAGGGCGUGCUGCGGGUUCCGGCCGUUAAAAGCCUUAUUUACCCAAGGUUGACCUCGGAUCAGGUAGGAAGACCCGCUGAACUUAAUCAUAUCAAUAAGCGGAGGA
rnacentral:misc_RNA from 1 species